ACUUUAGUAGCUCUGCAUAUCCACCCUUAGAUUUUACGCACUUAUGGUCAAGGAGUUUUUGAUCCAGGACAUGUAUAGUUUAACCUGCUGUACAUAUGCAGAUCUUAUUGAAGAGAAUAGUUGUAACUGCCUGUUGUAGCAUUACACACACAAACAUUUAAUUGUGGUACAUGCAUUAUUAUUACCCUUGCCGUUUUUUUUUUUUUCUUUUCAGCUAUGCUACGUUAAUCAUUUGUAGAUCAGAGAGGGAGAGGAUGCGAGGAGAGGAAGCUAUAGGAGUUUGUGUAUCUGGAAGGCCGGAGCAUGCAUUUUGGAAAACAGCCAUAGAUUGAAUGCUGCAAGAAAGCAGAGAGGAAGGGAGAGGGCCCUAGCUAGGAUGCACUCAUCACUGUCUUUUAUAUCAGGCUGUAGGGUGGCCUCCACUGACCCUAGAGAAAGAAACAUAAUAUUUUAUUCAUUUACAAAGCACUCCUCAUAAAACUGUCAUUUUACCUCAGCAUACUAUUAACUUAUAGACAUUCUCAUUACUGUAAUCGUUCCCAAGACAUUAAUCUAGAAACCCCCCAAGUUCAUGUCUAAUUUAGGUCAAACUGCCUUUAGUGUGUUUGCUCCAGUCCGUACACCUGGAAUGAACUCUAGGUUUCAUUGAAACUAGAUUCCCUUAUAUCUUUUGACCAGUUUAAAACACUACCCUUAAAUGUUAAAGAGGGAUCAUACGUGCUUUAUACUCAUUGGCUUUCCUCUCUCAGCACCCUCAUCCACAUGCACUACACAAUAACACUCAAAGCACAAGAACCAAUAUAUGUGAAAAUGCGCCCUCAGGCAUGCAGAGACCUACCGCCUCCUCAAGAUUCAGGCCACCUACAUACUGGUUACUUGCAUACCUCUUACUGAGUAGCCUACAUAAUUUUCAGUCAAUGUUAGGUGCAUUUAGAUUUGUAUUUAACUCAAUUCCUGUGCAUCUCUUAACAACAUAGCCUACGAUGAUGGCAGAUAACACUGUCUGCUAUCUACAGCUCAAUGUAGGAAACACUUGACAAAACACAUUCUUAUAAUUGCCAGUAGUUAUACAGUUAAUUAAAAGGUCCCCAUUUUUACACCAACAUAGCAAAUGGCAUGUGGUCUUUUUUCAGGAAUAUACACGAAGAACACAAUGAAAAACCAUCGUUCCCUGGAGGCCCACAAUUUUUUCAUAAGUGGUUGGGUGCAGCCAGUGUUGCAUUUCAACACUGGCUCUGGCCAUACCAUCAUGAAAAGGAAGGUCAUACCCUCGUGGAGGGUUACCGAGAAUCCCCAUAACACCUGGGUAGCGGUUAAAACUGAUGUAGGGAUUGCGGCAGCUCACUGCGACUGCAUGGCAGGGGUCUUCACCAAUCGAAGGGGAAUCGGCCCAUCAAGGAUGUGGAACCUGCCCUUCAGCACUCCAAUCACCCUUUCUGUUGGAGAAAACAUGGACUUUUAAGAAAAAGAAAGACACGCAUAACACUUAUGGUGUCGGACAUAACACCAUCACAAAGGAUGGACGUAAUGUAUUCACGCCCAAGUGAACAGAUCUUUGGUGUAAUUCUUAAUGAUGAUGCUGUGCCAAGUGGCGAAAUAGUUGUGUCUAUUGUCAUAAAUUUAUAUAUGUUACGACUGCUUAUGACACCUUCAAGACACUGUUACGAAGGCCUUAUGACCGAGGGUAAACCGUUACUGUGAGAUCAAGUACAUUCCUGAUGCUGUUUUAUUCCAAUUAACUCUGCAUAUGGCAAAUGCCACACCUUCUUUUAUAGAACGACCACAAGCAGUAUUCAUACGUGUACAUUUUUAUUUUUUAACAGGGAUUCUAGUUCUCCAACAGAGAGGCAUGUGUAUAGGCAUCACUAAGAUGUUUCCAAAAAACAGGAACUAGGAGAAUGAAUGAGCUUUGCUUUCCGUGUGAGAAGCAUUUUCACAUUUUAUUGGAAACCUGCAAAAUUGAAAAAAUGAUCUGUAGGAUAUUUUCCUGCCUGUGCUUCACUGUUUUUGUUAUAUAUAAGAUUUCAAAAUUUUUUAUACACAUUUAUUGAAUGUGUAAUUCACCUGCAGUUGCGUACAGUUCAUUUGUGUAUAUGUACAUAUUAUAUAACAGUGGUUGAUCGAUUGUAUAUUGAUUUGAAUCCAAGAUUGCUAAUUUUUUUUAACCUGUCAUUAAUUUAAUACAAGCACUUUGGUAUUGUUAAAUACAGAAGUUUAAAGUUUCAGUUCAUUCUCCUGCCCACCUCUCAGUUUGAAAGGGUGCACAUUUUCAGAUUGUGAUUAGCAAAUUAACCUGUGUAUGUUCCCCCCAAAAAUUAAAAGAAUUAUUAGGAAAAGA